rnacentral:rRNA from 1 species
GGUGAACGCUGGCGGUAGGCCUAACACAUACAAGUCGAACGGCAGCACAGUAAGAGCUUGCUCUUACGGGUGGCGAGUGGCGGACGGGUGAGGAAUACAUCGGAAUCUACUUUUUCGUGGGGGAUAACGUAGGGAAACUUACGCUAAUACCGCAUACUACCUACGGGUGAAAGCAGGGGAUCUUCGGACCUUGCGCGAUUGAAUGAGCCGAUGUCGGAUUAGCUAGUUGGCGGGGUAAAGGCCCACCAAGGCGACGAUCCGUAGCUGGUCUGAGAGGAUGAUCAGCCACACUGGAACUGAGACACGGUCCAGACUCCUACGGGAGGCAGCAGUGGGGAAUAUUGGACAAUGGGCGGAAGCCUGAUCCAGCCAUACCGCGUGGGUGAAGAAGGCCUUCGGGUUGUAAAGCCCUUUUGUUGGGAAAGAAAAGCAGCAGGUUAAUACCCCGCUGUUCUGACGGUACCCAAAGAAUAAGCACCGGCUAACUUCGUG